rnacentral:lncRNA from 1 species
CGGGGCGCUGGGGGCGCUGGAAAUGUUCGCCGUCAUGGAGCGAGGGACACGCCGCGGCGAGCUGCCCAGGGGAGCGACCCUGGGGACCCUGCGGCGGGGUGGCGGAUCUGCUUGGUGCGGUUAGCUUCCUACACGGGGCGGCGCACCCUCCCACCACUCCUCCGUCUCCGGCUGCUCCCUGGGCUUGCCCAGCCGCUUUCCCACACGGAGUUAUUGGCAGCAAUCAGCCGCAACCGCGAUGAAGCGCUUGAACAGGAACAGUCUUGGAGGACUUGGAAAAUAGGAGCAGAACCAAGAGCCAUGAGGUUGGCUGAUCAAAUAAUUCCUUCCCCAGUCAAAAACUUAGUCAACAAAGGAAUGACUUCAACUCAAUUUGCUAUCACUGUUCACCAGGGUAAAGUAUAUGUGGUACUUUCUCCUCCUAUUAAAUGGGAAUUGUUAUUGCUAUCUUAUUCUGGUUUUGUUUCACUGUUAUAUACAGGUUAUCUUGCAACUGGUUACAUUUCUUAUUGAAUCAUAGGGUACAUGACCAUAACGAACAACAUUUGAACUUGGCCAAGAGGAAUAGGUGUCACUUUGAGAUCCUAGACUUAGAGAUGAUACUGUGGCCAUGUCUGACCAACUCUGGGUUGUCUCGCAUAGGGGGAGGCCGAGGCUGUUUAUAGUUUCAUGUGGGAAAAGGGUAUUAUUCUUGGUGUUAAUGACACUGGGAAGGGGGCUAUUUUUUAAAGCAUGUUAUAGAAAGAAUGUUUCUGUUAGGCAAUCAAGGAGUGAGAUGAAUUUUUUCUAAAUUGACAUGGCUAUCUGGCUUCCAGUGAUUGUGACAUCUGUGCUAUCACCUCCUCCUCACAGAAACUACUUCUUCUUCUACUUCUUCUUCCAGAGUGCUGCCCACAUUUCAAAGGAGUGCUCACAUGACCUUAAAAAGCCAGGCACAAGACUCAGUUGUCAGUUUGGGGAGAGGGUACAUAUCCCAAAGUAGACCAAUUAGAGGACAGAAGAGAGAAGAGAGCAGAGAGAAAGAGAAAAAGAGAGACGAAAGUGCCACAUUCUAACAGUGGUCAAGCCCCUGCUUCUAGUUCCAGAGUGUUUUUGGCUAUUACCUUCUCUGGAAAUUUGGUUUUUCAUUUCUUCUUUCAUUUUUAUGAACACUUCUCAGCCUUUCAAACAUACUCCUUUACCUCAGCCACAUUAAAUUAAAUUUCUCUAACAAUCAUAACAGUCCACACUAAUAUACCAUGGCAGUGUGUAAUUCAUUAUGUGAUGAAAUAAAAAAUUUAAAAUUAAUGGAACA